GAAUGGGGCGCAGCCUGAUCCAGCCAUGCCGCGUGAGUGAAGAAGGCCUUAGGGUCGUAAAGCUCUUUCGCCUGUGAUGAUAAUGACAGUAGCAGGUAAAGAAACCCCGGCUAACUCCGUGCCAGCAGCCGCGGUAAUACGGAGGGGGUUAGCGUUGUUCGGAAUUACUGGGCGUAAAGCGCGCGUAGGCGGAUUGGAAAGUUAGAGGUGAAAUCCCGGGGCUCAACCCCGGAACGGCCUUUAAAACUCCCAGUCUAGAGUUCGAGAGAGGUGAGUGGAAUUCCAAGUGUAGAGGUGAAAUUCGUAGAUAUUUGGAGGAACACCAGUGGCGAAGGCGGCUCACUGGCUCGAUACUGACGCUGAGGUGCGAAAGUGUGGGGAGCAAACAGGAUUAGAUACCCUGGUAGUCCACACCGUAAACGAUGAAUGCCAGUCGUCGGAUAGUAUACUAUUCGGUGACACACCUAACGGAUUAAGCAUUCCGCCUGGGGAGUACGGUCGCAAGAUUAAAACUCAAAGGAAUUGACGGA
rnacentral:rRNA from 1 species